AACGCGAAGAACCUUACCUGGGCUCGAAAUGGAGUGGAUCGGGGUGGAAAUAUCCUCUUCCCGCAAGGGACAGUAGUAGAGGUGCUGCAUGGCUGUCGUCAGCUCGUGCCGUGAGGUGUUGGGUUAAGUCCCGCAACGAGCGCAACCCUUACUCGUAGUUGCUACCCGCAAGGGAGAACUCUACGAGGACUGCUCCGGAUAACGGAGAGGAAGGUGGGGAUGACGUCAAGUCAGCACGGCCUUUAUGUCCAGGGCUACACACGUGUUACAAUGCAUGGUACAGACUGUUGCGAACCCGCGAGGGGGAGCUAAUCGGACAAAACCAUGCUCAGUUCGGAUUGCAGUCUGCAACUCGGCUGCAUGAAGCUGGAAUCGCUAGUAAUGGCGCAUCAGAUCGGCGCCGUGAAUACGUUCCCGGGCCUUGUACACACCGCUCGCGA
rnacentral:rRNA from 1 species